UUUCGGAUCGUAAAGCUCUGUUGUUAGGGAAGAACAAGUGCGAGAGUAACUGCUCGCACCUUGACGGUACCUAACCAGAAAGCCACGGCUAACUACGUGCCAGCAGCCGCGGUAAUACGUAGGUGGCAAGCGUUGUCCGGAAUUAUUGGGCGUAAAGGGCUCGCAGGCGGUUUCUUAAGUCUGAUGUGAAAGCCCCCGGCUCAACCGGGGAGGGUCAUUGGAAACUGGGAAACUUGAGUGCAGAAGAGGAGAGUGGAAUUCCACGUGUAGCGGUGAAAUGCGUAGAGAUGUGGAGGAACACCAGUGGCGAAGGCGACUCUCUGGUCUGUAACUGACGCUGAGGAGCGAAAGCGUGGGGAGCGAACAGGAUUAGAUACCCUGGUAGUCCACGCCGUAAACGAUGAGUGCUAAGUGU
rnacentral:rRNA from 1 species